rnacentral:rRNA from 1 species
UGCAAGUCGAACGAUGAACCACUUCGGUGGGGAUUAGUGGCGAACGGGUGAGUAACACGUGGGCAAUCUGCCCUGCACUCUGGGACAAGCCCUGGAAACGGGGUCUAAUACCGGAUACUGAUCCGCCUGGGCAUCCAGGCGGUUCGAAAGCUCCGGCGGUGCAGGAUGAGCCCGCGGCCUAUCAGCUUGUUGGUGAGGUAGUGGCUCACCAAGGCGACGACGGGUAGCCGGCCUGAGAGGGCGACCGGCCACACUGGGACUGAGACACGGCCCAGACUCCUACGGGAGGCAGCAGUGGGGAAUAUUGCACAAUGGGCGAAAGCCUGAUGCAGCGACGCCGCGUGAGGGAUGACGGCCUUCGGGUUGUAAACCUCUUUCAGCAGGGAAGAAGCGAAAGUGACGGUACCUGCAGAAGAAGCGCCGGCUAACUACGUGCCAGCAGCCGCGGGUAAUUC